CCCUUUGUAGUUCAAUGGAUAGAACGGGCCCCUCCUAAGGGUCAAAUGCAGGUUCGAUUCCUGCCGAAGGGGCCA
rnacentral:tRNA from 1 species